rnacentral:tRNA from 1 species
GCCCAGAUGGCGGAAUUGGUAGACGCGCAGGUUUCAGGUACCUGUGCCGCAAGGCGUGGAGGUUCGAAUCCUCUUCCGGGCACCA